rnacentral:rRNA from 1 species
GACGAACGCUGGCGGCGUGCUUAACACAUGCAAGUCGAACGGAAAGGCCCUUCGGGGUCCUCGAGUGGCGAACGGGUGCGUAACACGUGGGUGAUCUGCCCUGCACUUUGGGAUAAGCCUGGGAAACUGGGUCUAAUACCGAAUAGGACCGCGCGCUUCAUGGUGUGUGGUGGAAAGCUUUUGCGGUGUGGGAUGGGCCCGCGGCCUAUCAGCUUGUUGGUGGGGUAAUGGCCUACCAAGGCGACGACGGGUAGCCGGCCUGAGAGGGUGACCGGCCACACUGGGACUGAGAUACGGCCCAGACUCCUACGGGAGGCAGCAGUGGGGAAUAUUGCACAAUGGGCGCAAGCCUGAUGCAGCGACGCCGCGUGAGGGAUGACGGCCUUCGGGUUGUAAACCUCUUUCACCAGGGACGAAGCGCAAGUGACGGUACCUGGAGAAGAAGCACCGGCCAACUACGUG